rnacentral:piRNA from 1 species
UCCCAGAGAAGACUCUAUCACAGUGCAC